rnacentral:rRNA from 1 species
CGGCCCAAAGAGGGUGAAGGCCCGUCGGGGAGAAGAUCAGGCAGGUCAGUGCUUUCCUAAAAAGACCUUGGAGUCGGGUUGUUUGAGAAUGCAGCCCAAAGUGGGUGGUAAACUCCAUCCAAGGCUAAAUACUAACACGAGUCCGAUAGCGAACAAGUACCGUGAGGGAAAGUUGAAAAGUACUUUGAAGAGAGAGUAAACAGUGCGUGAAGCCGCUCAGAGGUAAACGGGUGGAGUUGAACUGCGUGCUACGAGAAUUCAGCUGGUGAUUGUGUUAUGACCUUGGUCAUCUYGGUUGAACAGUGCGGUCUGCGUAAAAGCAGGUUCUUGCCUUCGGGCGGGGAUGCGCGAUUCACUUAUCAAGUGAUGUGCGCCUCAUUGCUCUUCGAACCAAUUGCCAGUGCACUUUCUCAGAGCGUUCACCACGAUCGGCACCGUUGUCCGACUAUUGUGGUUAAACCGGCCUGACAUUGUCCUUGUGACUUUUUCACGUCGGCACGGCAGGUAGCUCGUUGGCUUUCUUGUGGUUCGCUACAGGGAUUUAGACAACGGGUGUAAUCAGCUGGCCACAAUAUUUCCGUACAAUGUGCCGGAGACCGCGGCUUGUGAUGUGUGCCUGCGCAAUUAUUGCUGGCCAAUUCGGGUUUGGUUGUCAUGUUGCCUGUUAAAUCAGGCCUGACGAUGGCUCGGAUUCGUUCAACAAUUCACUGCGUAAGCGACAUCAAUACAGGGCCAACAGUCUGUGGUGUUGUGGUAGACCAUCCACCUGACCCGUCUUGAAACACGGACCAAGGAGAGUAACAUGUGCGCGAGUCAUUGGGCGUAACGAAACCCAAAGGCGCAGUGAAAGUGAAGGUUUGGCUUGUCCAAGCUGAGGUGAGAUCUCGUCGUUUCUCACACGGUAUCACCAAGUAAAGAGCGUCGAGCGCAUCACCGGCCCGUCCCAUGACGUAGACGGGAUCACCUGAUCCACGCAUCGUCGGGCGGAGCAUGAGCGUACAUGUUGAGACCCGAAAGAUGGUGAACUAUGCUUGCGCAGGUUGAAGCCAGAGGAAACUCUGGUGGAGGACCGCAGCGAUUCUGACGUGCAAAUCGAUCGUCAAACGUGAGUAUAGGGGCGAAA